rnacentral:rRNA from 1 species
AAUGCUCGUAGCGGAGGAUAUGAACCAACAGGGAUUGCCCUAGUACGGCGAGUGAAGCGGCAACAGCUCAAAUUUGAAAUCUGGCUUCGGCCCGAGUUGUAAUUUGCAGAGGAAGCUUUAGGCGCGGCACCUCCUGAGUCCCCUGGAACGGGGCGCCACAGAGGGUGAGAGCCCCGUAUAGUUGGAUGCCUAGCCUGUGUAAAGCUCCUUCGACGAGUCGAGUAGUUUGGGAAUGCUGCUCAAAAUGGGAGGUAAAUUUCUUCUAAAGCUAAAUACCGGCCAGAGACCGAUAGCGCACAAGUAGAGUGAUCGAAAGAUGAAAAGCACUUUGAAAAGAGGGUUAAAUAGCACGUGAAAUUGUUGAAAGGGAAGCGCUUGUGACCAGACUUGCGCCGGGCUGAUCAUCCGGUGUUCUCACCGGUGCACUCUGCCCGGCUCAGGCCAGCAUCGGUUCUCGCGGGGGGAUAAAGGCCCUGGGAACGUAGCUCCUCCGGGAGUGUUAUAGCCCGGGGCGUAAUGCCCUCGCGGGGACCGAGGUGCGCGCUCUGCAAGGAUGCU